UGCGGUGUAGGGCAGAGGUAGCCCGUGGGUCUCAUAAUCCCAAGGUCAUUGGUUCGAUUCCAAUCGCCGCAA
rnacentral:tRNA from 1 species